UACGUAGGGCGCAAGCGUUGUCCGGAAUUAUUGGGCGUAAAGAGCUCGUAGGCGGCCUGUUGCGUCCGCUGUGAAAUCCCGGGGCUCAACCCCGGGCCUGCAGUGGAUACGGGCUGGCUGGAGGCAGGCAGGGGAGAACGGAAUUCCUGGUGUAGCGGUGAAAUGCGCAGAUAUCAGGAGGAACACCGGUGGCGAAGGCGGUUCUCUGGGCCUGUUCUGACGCUGAGACGCGAAAGCGUGGGGAGCGAACAGG
rnacentral:rRNA from 1 species